GACGAACGCUGGCGGCGUGCUUAACACAUGCAAGUCGAACGGAAAGGCUCCAGCUUGCUGGAGUGCUCGAGUGGCGAACGGGUGAGUAACACGUGGGCAAUCUGCCCUGCACUCUGGGAUAAGCCUGGGAAACUGGGUCUAAUACCGGAUAGGACCUUUCUCCUCAUGGGGUUUGGUGGAAAGUUUUUCGGUGCAGGAUGAGCCCGCGGCCUAUCAGCUUGUUGGUGGGGUAAUGGCCUACCAAGGCGACGACGGGUAGCCGGCCUGAGAGGGUGAUCGGCCACAUUGGGACUGAGAUACGGCCCAGACUCCUACGGGAGGCAGCAGUGGGGAAUAUUGCACAAUGGGCGAAAGCCUGAUGCAGCGACGCCGCGUGAGGGAUGACGGCCUUCGGGUUGUAAACCUCUUUCAGUAGGGACGAAGCGCAAGUGACGGUACCUGCAGAAGAAGCACCGGCUAACUACGUG
rnacentral:rRNA from 1 species